rnacentral:rRNA from 1 species
CCUACGGGCGGCAGCAGUGGGGAAUAUUGCGCAAUGGGCGAAAGCCUGAUGCAGCGACGCCGCGUGAGGGAUGAAGGUCUUCGGAUCGUAAAGCUCUGUCAGCAGGGAAGAACGGUCACUGUGCUAAUAAGCAGUGCAUUGACGGUACCUGCAAAGGAAGCACCGGCUAACUCAGUGACAGCAGCCGCGGUAAUACGGAGGGUGCGAGAGUUAAUAGGAAUUACUGGGCGUAAAGCGCACGAAGGCGGUAUGUCAAGUCAAGGGUGAAAUCCCCGGGCUCAACGUAGGAACUGCAUUUGAAACUGGCAAACUGGAGUGUGUGAGAGGAUAGUGGAAUUGCAGGUGUAGGAGUGAAAUCAGUAGAUAUCUGGAGGAACAUCAGUGGCGAAGGCGACUAUCUGGCACAUAACUGACGCUGAGGAGCGAAAGCGUGGGUAGCAAACAGGAUUAGAUACCCUGGUAGUC